CUGGUAUGAAUGGAUUUACGUAAAAACUCUGUCUCAAUUUAAUUUUUGAAAAAUUUUUUAAAAGGUGAAAAAACCUUUAACUUAAAAAAGACGAGAAGACCCUAAGAAUUUUUUAAUAGAGGAGAAUAAUUCUUCUUUUUUGGCUGGGGCGGCGAUGGACCAAUAAACAUCCAGUUAUAUCGAAACAGUUCUUUAAAAAUAAAUUACCUUAGGGAUAACAGCACUAUUAUGACCUCGAUGUUGGACUACGAA
rnacentral:rRNA from 1 species